rnacentral:rRNA from 1 species
UUCGGGGGACAGGGUGACAGGUGGUGGCAUGGUUGUCGUCAGCUCGUGUCGUGAGAUGUUGGGUUAAGUCCCGCAACGAGCGCAACCCUCGACCUUAGUUGCCAGCAUUCAGUUGGGCACUCUAAGGUGACUGCCGGCUAAAAGUCGGAGGAAGGUGGGGAUGGCGUCAAAUCAUCAUGCCCCUUAUGACCUGGGCUACACACGUGCUACAAUGGGCGGUACAAAGGGUCGCGAACCCGCGAGGGGGAGCCAAUCCCAAAAGCCGCUCUCAGUUCGGAUUGCAGGCUGCAACUCGCCUGCAUGAAGCCGGAAUCGCUAGUAAUCGCGGAUCAGCAUGCCGCGGUGAAUACGUUCCCGGGCCUU